GUGUUGGCAGUCGUCCUUGUGUUGGUAUCCGUCCCUGCUGGUUAUAGUCAAAGUUCUUAAGCUUAAAAACAACAGAGGAUUGAAGAGAGAUACAGAGAAUUUGACUGCUUGAAAAGGCCUUGGACUCAUAAGGGUUGCUAGGCGUCCCUGUAUUGCUCGGCGUCCCAGCGUUGAAAUAGCCACUUCCUCACGUCUAAAAACUAUCCUCCGAGCCAGAUUGUUGUACCCAGGGCAUGAUAAUUACCCAGUUUCAACCAAAAACUAUCCUCCGAGCCAGAUUAUCGUACUCAGGGCAUCGUAAUUACCCAGUUUCAACCAAAAACUAUCCUCCGAGCCAGAUUGUUGUACCCAGGGCAUGAUAAUUACCCAGUUUCAACCAAAAACUAUCCUCCGAGCCAGAUUAUCGUACCCAGGGCAUGAUAAUUACCCAGUUUCAACCAAAAACUAUCCUCCGAGCCAGAUUGUUGUACCCAGGGCAUGAUAAUUACCCAGUUUCAACCAAAAACUAUCCUCCGAGCCAGAUUAUCGUACCCAGGGCAUCAUAAUUACCCAGUUUCAACCAAAAACUAUCCUCCGAGCCAGAUUAUCGUACCCAGGGCAUCAUAAUUACCCAGUUUCAACCAAAAACUAUCCUCCGAGCCAGAUUGUUGUACCCAGGGCAUGAUAAUUACCCAGUUUCAACCAAAAACUAUCCUCCGAGGCAGAUUGUUGUACCCAGGGCAUCGUAAUUACCCAGUUUUGACCCUUAAUCAUUCGCCCAAAACAUCUCUAAUUGAUGCUUUUAAUAACUAUGAAUUAAUGCAUUUAUUGGGAUGUAGGAGGAAGCUUUCGGGUUAGAAGUCUGGAAAUAUUAAAGGAUUAAGUACGACAAUUUCGCAGCGUUGAGUCUGGGCCCCGAUACCCAACAAAACCCCAAAUUCCAAGGCUUAAACUGUGUCCUGGGGUCCCAUAAUUAGACACAUAUAUACACAUCGUCAAACCUGUUAAUUCCUGGUGAUUCCCGGCUAUAUUUAAGCAUCAAAACCCCAAAUUCCAAGGCAAAAACUGUGUCCUGGGGUCCCAUAACUAGACUCAUUUGUACUCAUCGUCAAUUCCUGGUGAUUCCCGGCCAUAUUUACGCAUCAAAACCCCAAAUUCCAAGGCAAAAACUGUGUCCUGGGGUCCCAUAACUAGACUCAUAUAUACUCAUUGUUAAUUCCUGGUGAUUCCCGGCCAUAUUUAAGCAUCAAAACCCCAAAUUCCAAGGCUUAAACUGUGUCCUGGGGUCCCAUAACUAGACCCAUUUAUACUCAUUGUUAAUUCCUGGUGAUUCCCGGCAAUAUUUAAGCAUCGAAACACCAAAUUCCAAGGCUUAAACUGUGUCCUGGGGUCCCAUAACUAGAGUCAUUUAUACUCAUUGUUAAUUCCUGGUGAUUCCCGGCCAUAGUUAAGCAUCAAAACCCCAAAUUCCAAGGCUUAAACUGUGUCCUGGGGUCCCAUAACUAGACUCAUUGUUAAUUCCUGGUGAUUCCCGGCAAUAGUUAGCUGUCGAAAACCCAAAUUCCAAGGCUUAAACUGUGUCCUGGGGUCCCAUAACUAGACUCAUUUAUACUCAUUGUUAAUUCCUGGUGAUUCCCGGCCAUAUUUAAGCAUCAAAACCCCAAAUUCCAAGGCUUAAACUGUGUCCUGGGGUCCCAUAACUAGACUCAUUUAUACUCAUCGUCAAUUCCUGGUGAUUCCCGGCAAUAGUUAGCUGUCGAAAACCCAAAUUCCAAGGCUUAAACUGUGUCCUGGGGUCCCAUAACUAGAGUCAUUUAUACUCAUUGUUAAUUCCUGGUGAUUCCCGGCCAUAUUUAAGCAUUGAAAACCCAAAUUCCAAGGCUUAAACUGUGUCCUGGGGUCCCAUAACUAGACUCAUUUGUACUCAUUGUUAAUUCCUGGUGAUUCCCGGCCAUAUUUAAGCAUCAAAACACCAAAUUCCAAGGCAAAAACUGUGUCCUGGGGUCCCAUAACUAGACUCAUUUGUACUCAUCGUUAAUUCCUGUUGAUUCCCGGCCAUAUUUAAGCAUCAAAACCCCAAAUUCCAAGGCUAAAACUGUGUCCUGGGGUCCCAUAACUAGAGUCAUUUAUACUCAUCGUCAAUUCCUGGUGAUUCCCGGCAAUAUUUAAGCAUCAAAACACCAAAUUCCAAGGCUUAAACUGUGUCCUGGGGUCCCAUAACUAGACCCAUUUAUACUCAUCGUUAAUUCCUGGUGAUUCCCGGCCAUAGUUAAGCAUCGAAAACCCAAAUUCCAAGGCUUAAACUGUGUCCUGGGGUCCCAUAACUAGACUCAUUUAUACUCAUUGUUAAUUCCUGGUGAUUCCCGGCAAUAUUUAAGCAUCAAAACCCCAAAUUCCAAGGCUAAAACUGUGUCCUGGGGUCCCAUAACUAGACUCAUUUAUACUCAUUGUUAAUUCCUGGUGAUUCCCGGCCAUAUUUAAGCAUCAAAACCCCAAAUUCCAAGGCUUAAACUGUGUCCUGGGGUCCCAUAACUAGACUCAUUUAUACUCAUUGUUAAUUCCUGGUGAUUCCCGGCAAUAUUUAAGCAUCAAAACCCCAAAUUCCAAGGCUUAAACUGUGUCCUGGGGUCCCAUAACUAGAUUCAUUUAUACACAGCGUCAAACCUGUUAAUUCCUGGUGAUUCCCGGCCAUAUUUAAGCAUCAAAACACCAAAUUCCAAGGCUUAAACUGUGUCCUGGGGUCCCAUAACUAGACUCAUUUAUACUCAUCGUCAAUUCCUGGUGAUUCCUGGCCAUAUUUAAGCAUCAAAACCCCAAAUUCCAAGGCUUAAACUGUGUCCUGGGGUCCCAUAACUAGACUUGUUUAUACUCAUUGUUAAUUCCUGGUGAUUCCUGGCAAUAGUUAGCUGUCAAAAACCCAAAUUCCAAGGCUAAAACUGUGUCCUGGGGUCCCAUAACUAGACUCAUUUAUACUCAUUGUUAAUUCCUGGUGAUUCCUGGCUAUAUUUAAACAUCAAAACCCCAAAUUCCAAGGCUUAAACUGUGUCCUGGGGUCCCAUAACUAGACCCAUUUAUACUCAUUGUUAAUUCCUGGUGAUUCCCGGCAAUAUUUAAGCAUCAAAAUCCCAAAUUCCAAGGCUUAAACUGUGUCCUGGGGUCCCAUAACUAGACUCAUUUAUACUCAUUGUUAAUUCCUGGUGAUUCCCGGCAAUAUUUAAGCAUCAAAACCCCAAAUUCCAAGGCAAAAACUGUGUCCUGGGGUCCCAUAACUAGACUCAUUUAUACUCAUUGUUAAUUCCUGGUGAUUCCCGGCCAUAUUUAAGCAUCAAAACCCCAAAUUCCAAGGCAAAAACCACUGUUGAAUGUCCGCUGAAUUGACAUGUGUGUGUGUGUGUGUGUGUGUGUGUGUGUGUGUUUGUGUGUACAGGAAUGCUCUAUAAUGGCUGGGUGUUAAGAAUUGUUAGUCUGGCAAUGUUCAAGAAAGUGCUGUUUAACCCUCUCCCCUCAGGCGCAGUCGGGCAGCGCAAUGUGGGGUCUCUUUUAACCUCCGUAUCUCAAAAACCGUUCAUCACAGCUUAAAACCAAAAGCGCCAUUGGAAAGAGAAGGUCCAGCUCUAUAGAAGUCGGUCAUGUACGCCUUUCCUGCGCGCGUACAUGGACGUCUGGGGAGCGUUGAAUGUUAAGAUUUGCGUCGGUGCGUGUGGGAUGAUCAGCCGUAUUGAGGGAGCUGUGGGCAUCUCUCCUUCAGACUCUGGCAAGGGAGUGUUUACAACUGUUUGGUCGAGGCAUCAGACAGCAUCAGACAUCCACCAGUCACUCGUCUGUCGAUCUGCCGCGCUGGGCUGAUACGAUUCUCCACCAAAUUUAGCUUAGAACGCACUCAAUCCUGUGUUGUGAGAGUUACCGCCGGAACGCUCUCAGACGUGGGAGAUUGGAGUGCGUCUGGAGAGGCAGCGAGCGUUUCCCAACACCAACAAACACGCCCAACGCUCACUGUGUGUUUACCAAUGAAAGGGUUAAACCAGCGUCCAUAUCUCCCAUGUAUGGUACAGUGGGCGGGGUCUCACGGGCCGGAAGCGAGGGUCUUGUGAGAGGCUUUCAGUGGGUGAAAUGCCCGGUUGUCUAGCGUACCAGACCGCACCAGGAAAAUGUACCAAGAUUGAGUAUACGUAACAUUGUAUACUGGUCUACAUAUCUAUAAACAUUUAAAUCUACUUCCUCUUGGGUUCGUGAAGAUGUCAGACACUAACGAACAUUGCAGAACUCAGGGCCAUAUUUUUAAACAUUUCUGCGGCCAAGAACACGUAACUUACCAGUCUUUCGUGGGAGUUUGGGGCAUUUCCAGGGGUAGUUUUAUGACCCUGGUGGUAGUCUGAGCCUUCAUCCGUACCGUGAACCUAAAAGAACAUGUAAUUUACUAGUCUUUUGUGGGAGUUUAGGGCAUUUCCAGGGGUAGUUUUAUGACCCUGGUGGUAGUCUGAGCCUUCUUCUGUACCGUGAACCUAGACCUCACUUAACCCCUUCACUACAGCCAGGCCAAAACAGCGCCCCAUAUCUAGGAUCGCCGUGCGCGUCAAAUUUCAAAUAUCGCUAUUGAAUAUAACAAGUUUUGGGCCAUAAACUCAACACAAUCAUCAUGUAUUAUAUAUGAAAACAUGCAGAAUUUAAUGGCGCACAUAGAGAAACAUAAAUUAAUUGAUAGUUUUGAGAUAUAAGCAUAAAUAUAGAGAUUAAAUGCCUUGUAUCUACCCUACAGCGGACCGGGGCACAGUACGCGCAUCCUGGGGUAUGUCCCGGGGCACUGUGUUCAAGGGGUUAAAUGUCAAGCCUAAGGACAUUUGUACAUUUUAUUUCCACGAUGUAUAGAACAAAAAUACCAUGUCUGUAUCGUACCAGAUCUUGUGAAUGUCGAUGAUAGGCUUCCUUGAGGGGCCUGGAUGGUGUUGGCAAGUUUUUAUAGUGGCGCCAUCCUGCAUUGGCUCGUGCUGUCCCCCGGAACUCCUUGGAUGGUGUCCUGUAGAGUCCGGGUCGAUGGAUGGUCUUCCGGGCACCAUGUGGGUAGUUUUAAGCCUCUCGGCGGUGAAUGUGGGCCCAGCACGCUACCACUCAGCCACCGCCUACCAGUCACGGCAACACUGGGCAUAGGGAAAGGGCUAUACCACUAGGCCUACGCUUAUCCAGUUUGGCUUGAAAUUCCUGAAUCGUUUCUGCCCACACAGUCUCCUCGUCAAGUCUGUUCCAUGUUAUGCUUCUGUGAAUGGAAAACUGUAUUUCCUGAUGUGUUUCCUACAGUGCCCUGCCUCAGUUUCCUACCCUUGGCCCCUGCCACACCCCUGUCACACCCCUGUCAUGCUGUCUUGGGUCUACCCCGUCUAAUCCCUCGUGUGUCUGUACGAUGCUAUUUGGUUCCUGUUUGUCUCCCAGUGUUGUGAGUCUCAAUCUCUCUGUACAGUGCUAUUUGGUUCUGUCUGUCUCCCCAGUGUUGUGAGUCUCAAUCUCUCUGUACAGUGCUAUUUGGUUCUAUCUGUCUCCCCAGUGUUGUGAGUCUCAAAGUCUCUGUACAGUGCUAUUUGGUUCUGUCUGUCUCCCCAGUGUUGUGAGUCUCAAUCUCUCUGUACAGUGCUAUUUGGUUCUAUCUGUCUCCCCAGUGUUGUGAGUCUCAAUCUCUCUGUACAGUGCUAUUUGGUUCUGUCUGUCUCCCCAGUGUUGUGAGUCCCAAUCUCUCUGUACAGUGCUAUUUGGUUCUGUCUGUCUCCCCAGUGUUGUGAGUCCCAAUCUCUCUGUACAGUGCUAUUUGGUUCUAUCUGUCUCCCCAGUGUUGUGAGUCUCAAAGUCUCUGUACAGUGCUAUUUGGUUCUGUCUGUCUCCCCAGUGUUGUGAGUCUCAAUCUCUCUGUACAGUGCUAUUUGGUUCUGUCUGUCUCCCCAGUGUUGUGAGUCUCAAUCUCUCUGUACAGUGCUAUUUGGUUCUGUCUGUCUCCCAGUGUUGUGAGUCUCAAUCUCUCUGUACAGUGCUAUUUGGUUCUGUCUGUCUCCCCAGUGUUGUGAGUCCCAAUCUCUCUGUACAGUGCUAUUUGGUUCUGUCUGUCUCCAGUGUUGUGAGUCUCAAUCUCUCUGUACAGUGCUAUUUGGUUCUGUCUGUCUCCCCAGUGUUGUGAGUCUCAAUCUCUCUGUACAGUGCUAUUUGGUUCUGUCUGUCUCCCCAGUGUUGUGAGUCCCAAUCUCUCUGUACAGUGCUAUUUGGUUCUGUCUGUCUCCCCAGUGUUGUGAGUCUCAAUCUCUCUGUACAGUGCUAUUUGGUUCUGUCUGUCUCCCCAGUGUUGUGAGUCUCAAUCUCUCUGUACAGUGCUAUUUGGUUCUGUCUGUCUCCCCAGUGUUGUGAGUCUCAAUCUCUCUGUACAGUGCUAUUUGGUUCUGUCUGUCUCCCAGUGUUGUGAGUCUCAAUCUCUCUGUACAGUGCUAUUUGGUUCUGUCUGUCUCCCAGUGUUGUGAGUCUCAAUCUCUCUGUACAGUGCUAUUUGGUUCUGUCUGUCUCCCCAGUGUUGUGAGUCUCAAUCUCUCUGUACAGUGCUAUUUGGUUCUGUCUGUCUCCCCAUGUUGUGAGUCUCAAUCUCUCUGUACAGUGCUAUUUGGUUCUGUCUGUCUCCCCAGUGUUGUGAGUCUCAAUCUCUCUGUACAGUGCUAUUUGGUUCUGUCUGUCUCCCCAGUGUUGUGAGUCUCAAUCUCUCUGUACAGUGCUAUUUGGUUCUGUCUGUCUCCCAGUGUUGUGAGUCUCAAUCUCUCUGUACAGUGCUAUUUGGUUCUGUCUGUCUCCCAGUGUUGUGAGUCUCAAUCUCUCUGUACAGUGCUAUUUGGUUCUGUCUGUCUCCCCAGUGUUGUGAGUCUCAAUCUCUCUGUACAGUGCUAUUUGGUUCUGUCUGUCUCCCCAGUGUUGUGAGUCUCAAUCUCUCUGUACAGUGCUAUUUGGUUCUGUCUGUCUCCCCAGUGUUGUGAGUCCCAAUCUCUCCAGUGUCUUCAUAAGUGUGUUCUCUCAGAGUUUCCACAAAUUCAGCCGCUGUUUGUACUCUUUCCAAACUCUCUAAAUGUCUUUCAUCAAUCUGGGUGACCUCGCUAAUGCUGUAUAUUCCAGUCUUUGACGUACCAUCGAUGUUACGAGUCUCUCCGAAAUGCCUUCGUUGAGAUAUGUAAAUGCUGGUUUUGUGUUUCUAAGAAGGUUGUAUGUUUCCCAAGUUAUCCAGUCUGUGUGUUUCCUGAAGGAUAACUUGUCUGUGUGUGUGUGUGUGUGUGUGUGUGUGUGUGUGUGUGUGUGUGUGUGUGUGUGUGUGUGCGCCCCUCCACAGAAUUUGCGUUUUUCUGAACCUGUUUUUUUGAGUCAUUUCCUCGGUAAUAAUAAUAAUAAUAAUAAUAAUAAUAAUAAUAAUAAUAAUAAUUGUAACUAUUAAUUAAGGGCAGGAAAAGAAAUAUUAGCCAGCAGAGUUUAUUGAAUCUUUAACAUUGUUCUCUCUCUCUCUCUCUCUCUCUCUCUCUCUCUCUCUCUCUCUCUCUCUCUCUCUCUCUCUCUCUCUCUCUCUCUCUCUC